rnacentral:lncRNA from 1 species
UGUGUGUGGGUGCUGUUAGUGUGUGUGAGUGCUGUGUGUGGGUGCUGUUUGUGUGUAUUUUGUGGGGUGGGGGGACCGUUUAGUUAAUAUCCCCCCUUCCUUCUUAUCUUAUGUAUGUGGUGGUCCAGUGGAGAGUGAACUCUAGCCUGCGCAGCAAUGCUCCGACCUUGCGAGAGGAACUCGGUAGAGCUGCUGGCUAGAGCUCCCCGGGUCCUCUCCUGCCUCCCUCCAUGCUGCUGUGGGCCGGUGAGGUAGAUCUUUGACCUCCCCACCGGCCCAUGGAGGGAGGCACAUAGUGCGGGCCACGGGGAUUAGGGUGUGCCCAGGCACACCCAGCACACCCCUUGCGCACGCCUAUGGGCGCUGCAGACCACCAAACUUGAUGAUCUCAGCCAAUACUUUACCAUAUAAAAGCAUUGGGAGGCUAUUACGCAUGAGCGGCAAUACGUCACUUUGCGCCAAUCGGCAUCUCCCCAUAGAGAUGUAUAGACUCAAUCUAAAUAAAUACACUAUAUACACACAAGCAUGCAAUAGUGAAAAAAGUGUGUAGCGCUCAGCAAUUAUCACUUACUCCCCAAUAUUACUUUAGGGUUUGUAAGGUGCCUGGGUAGUCCGUGUUGCAAUCCCAAUAAGUUCCUCAAAGAAAACAGAGAAUAAAACGGGGAAAUCGCCCUGGUGUUGAAAUCCUUAUGAUUACAAUGACAAAUAUAAACAGAAAGGUGAAGGUUGCUUCUCACCUGGAAAAGAGCCUGUAACUUGGCUCUGAGCAUGACAGCUUAUGAGUCUUUUUAAAGGGAUGACUCUUGCCCCCUUUUAGCAGGAUAGAAGAUGUCCCAAGUGUAUGUAUUAAAAUUGAAUUUAUUGCAUAAACAUUAAAAACAUCAAUAAAAUUCAUACAUUACACUGGUAUCUUGUCCAAAACGCGUUUCACCGACCUCUCUCGGCUUUCUCAAUUGGUAACUACUAUCCUACUCGAUCCUGAUUAAAAUCCCCACCUCUCGUCCUGAUUGGAAGAAGGAGAUCGAUUUUUUUUCAGCCAAUCAUGAACGUUUUUACGUCUGAGUGGUUGCCACUAGAGGUUUUACUAGGCAGCAAUGUAAACACUGCCUUUAUCUGAAAAGGCCUGCAGGGAUAUGCUAUAGACACCAGAACAACUACAUUAAGCUUAAAGGACCACUAUACUCGUUUUCCUGGCACUAUAGUGUUAAUAGGUCCCCCCGACCCUCAGGGUCCCCCUCCCGCUGAGCUCUAGGGGAGGAAGGGGUUAAUCCCUUACCUUUCUCUUCUCCUCCUUCUGACGUCAUCGGCUGAAUGCAGUGUCCCUUUAAAUGAAAUUUAGAAUCAACAUCACUUUAUCUUGAAACUCCGUGCCUCUGUCUUGGCUCCCUGUCAGUCCUUAUUACAAGUUCUGUACUUUGCACCUUGCAGUCAGCAUAGAAAAAACCUACAGUGAAAAAUAAAAAAUUAAAAACUAUUUCUAUAUCUCCUCCUCGUUUGCAAUGUUUGUCUUGACUUUGCCUUGUCUGACCUGGACUGUGUCGUUUGCUAAAUUUGUUUUUUGUCCAAUGUUUUAUUCAAUGGUGUAAAUUUCAGAGAAAGGACAAUUACUCUUUAAAUGGAUAAAAAAAAAAAAAAAAAAGAUGGCUAUUAACUAACUUGAGAGUCCACAGGACAAGCAAGGUAAACCAGAGUUGUAUGCUUAAAGGUGCACUAUAGUGCCAGGAAAACAAACACGUUUUCCUGGCACCAUAGGGUUAUUAGGUCUCCACCUCCCUCGUGGCCCCCCUCCCGCUGGGCUGAAGGGAUUAAAACCCCUUCAGCCACUUACCUUAAUCCAGUGCCGGGCUCCCUCGGCGCUGGUGACCUCUCCUCUCCCUGCCGAUGUCAGCUCCCGAGUGAAGCCGCAUGCGCGGCCAGAGGCGUGCCCACUAGAGGCUGGAUUAACCCUGCACUGUUUUCAGCUGCAGAGUUAAAACUAGGGGAACCUGGCA